rnacentral:rRNA from 1 species
GGAGGGGGGGUGUUACCCUUGCCUACUUUCCGAAAACGUACGCCAGAGACCGAUGUGCUAACAAGGACCGUGUGGGGAAAGUUGAGAAGAACUUUGAAGAGAGAGUUCAAGAGUACGUGAGACCGUUCGGGGGUAAACCUAAGAAACCCAAAAGAUGGAAGGGGGAGAUUCAUCGUCAGCGACGCUGGCUUCGCGUCGGUGGGCGAUGUUCCGCGGAGUCUUCGCGACUCGCGCGCGGGCACGCUACCGUGCGUCGAUGUCCGGCGCUCGUCGUCGUGCACUUCUCCCCAAGUAGAACGUCGCGACCCGCUGGGUGUCGGUCUACGGCCCGGAUGCGGUGACUGUCGCGUCGCCGGUAAAACGGCACGCGACAAACCUCCGAUCGCCCGGCCGGCUGCUCGGCGGUACGCGCAAGGUAUCAGGCCGCACUCUUUUUAAGAGAUGCGUCGAGACCGUCGCAAGCGCGCGCCACGAUACUAGGAGGUUACGGACUUUGCGCCGUCCCCUGUUCUGGCCCGCUGUUGGUUAAAGUACGGUUCACCUUCGACAGGCCUGCGAACGUCUCUCUCUUUCUCAAUCUCGGGGAAGAAAGGAGACCGAUACCGGUCGGCGACGCUACUGCUUUGGGUACUCUUAGGACCCGUCUUGAAACACGGACCAAGGAGUCUAACAUGUACGCGAGUCAUUGGGACUUGUCGCGAGACCUAAAGGCGUAAUGAAAGUGAAGGUCGGCCCUGGCCGUCGACCGACGGAGGAUAGGCCGCGUCGCGAUGCGUCCUCGCACUCCCGGGGCGUCUCGUUCUCAUCGCGAGAAGAGGCGCACCCAGAGCGUACACGUUGGGACCCGAAAGAUGGUGAACUAUGUCUGGCCAGGACGAAGUCAGGGGAAACCCUGAUGGAGGUCCGUAGCGAUUCUGACGUGCAAAUCGAUCGUCGGAACUGAGUAUAGGGGCGAACGACUGAUCGAACCAUCUAGAACUGGUUUCUUUCCCAAAGAAAAAGAAAAUUAUAUAUUAGCGGG